GAUGAAGAACGUAGCGAAAUGCGAUAAGUAAUGUGAAUUGCAGAAUUCCGUGAAUCAUCGAAUCUUUGAACGCACAUUGCGCCUGCUGGUAUUCCGGUAGGCAUGUCUGUUUGAGCGUCAGCAAAAACCUCUCAGCGGUAAUUUAUUUUAUCUGCUGGUUAUGGGCUGCGGAGGACUAGCCAUUGCGGCUGCUCCCGCCUUAAACUUGCUGCACGACCGCAAGCUUAUGCUAGGUUUAUUGGAGUGGUGUUUACAUUUAAUUCUUACAACCUGUUCAUAGCUUGGUGGCGUUAAACCCGAUGUUGCCUCUGUGCAACUGAAGUUUGACCUCAAAUCAGACAAGGAUACCCGCUGAACUUAAGCAUAUCAAUAAGCGGAGGA
rnacentral:misc_RNA from 1 species